CGGUCGAGAGAUUUGUGUUUGAGAUCUUCCAACCUCCUCUGCUGUCAAUCAGCUCAGACACUUUGUUGUCACACGUGGAGCAGCUGCUGAGAGCGUUCAUCCUGAAGAUCAGUGUGUGUGAUGCUGUUUUAAACAACAACCCACCAGGUUGUUCUUUCACAGUGCUUGUGCACACCAGAGAUGCUGCUGCACGCAACAUGGAGAAGGUUCAAGUCAUUAAGGUGAGUGUUUUUCAGGACUGU